rnacentral:rRNA from 1 species
UAGUCUCGCACAGAUGCAUAUCAAUAAGCGGAGGAAAAGAAACUAACAAGGAUUCCCUUAGUAACGGCGAGUGAAGCGGGAAGAGCUCAAAUUUGAAAUCUUCAAGGUUUUACCUUGACGAAUUGUAGUUUAAAGAAGUGUUUUCUGUUGAAGUUUUGGUAAAAGUUCCUUGGAAUAGGACAUCAUAGAGGGUGAGAAUCCCGUAUUUGACCAUUAUUUUCAGCUGUGUGAUACACUUUCAAAGAGUCGGAUUGUUUGGGAAUGCAGUCCAGAAUGGGUGGUAAAUUUCAUCUAAAGCUAAAUAUUGGCGAGAGACCGAUAGCGAACAAGUACCGUGAGGGAAAGAUGAAAAGAACUUUGAAAAGAGAGUUAAACAGUACGUGAAAUUGUCAAAAGGGAAGCGUUUGACACCAGUGUUGUUUUCUCGAAAAUCAAUUAAAAAGAGUUAGAUUUUGUUGUGUAUUGUCCUUAACAGCUUGCAUUUCAAUUUUCUUGCUUUUUUUAAUGCACUUUUCGUUUAACAAGUCAACAUCAGUUUCUUUUGUUGUAAAAAGGUCAUUGGAAGGUGGCUUUCUUUUCGGAGAAAGUGUUUAUAGCCUUUGACUCCUGCAAUCGGAGAGACUGAGGUCCUGCAGCGUAGAUCCUUCGGGGUUAGAUACAUUUGUGCUAAGUUAUAGCUUUUUAUAGACAACUUGUUGACUAUGAUUAGUCUUGUAGCUUACUCGCUUAUGCUAUUUUACCUACGCUUAGGAUGUUGAGCGCAUGUCUCUCUCU